UGGGGAAUAUUGCGCAAUGGGCGAAAGCCUGACGCAGCGACGCCGCGUGGAGGAUGAAGGUCUUCGGAUUGUAAACUUCUGUUAAGUGGGACAAAAGACCUGUUUUUAAUACAAGCAGGGGAUGAUGGUACCACUAGAGAAAGCACCGGCUAAUCUCGUGCCAGCAGCCGCGGUAAUACGAGAGGUGCAAGCGUUAUUCGGAUUUAUUGGGUGUAAAGGGCGCGUAGACGGCAUGUUAAGUUUGUUGUUAAAUCCUCCGGCUCAACUGGAGAUGUGCAGCAAAUACUGGCGUGCUAGAGGAUGGAAGAGAGAAGUGGAAUUCUUGGAGUAGCGGUAAAAUGCGUAGAUCUCAAGAGGAACACCGAUGGCGAAGGCAGCUUCUUGGUCCAUUCCUGACGUU
rnacentral:rRNA from 1 species